rnacentral:lncRNA from 1 species
GUGCACUGGUGUCCCUAUCCAAGUCUCCAGAAAUAGGACAGCAGCCAUUCCAGGUAGCAGGGGAAUGGCCCUUCCUCACUUUCUGACGAUUUUUUUUUACGCUCUUCUGUCUUUGGGGAAAGCGGCAGGCUAAGGAAAACCGGGAAGCCACGCAGACCUCUGCCUGUGACACAGCACGUGGGCUGGCCUCUGGCAACUGACAGAGGGAACAUUGCUGCUGAUGCGAAGAAAAGUCAUCAGAGAUUCUAAAAAAUAACGACUAUGGCGGAUAAGCAAGGAGGGACAGGAGGUGACCAAGGCCACAGUGGGGAGAGACCUAGCAGAGAGAGCACCCACCUCAAUCAGGCCACAGCCGGGACGGAGGUUCUGAGCCACGUCUCCUGAGUUCAUUUACUCGGUGGAAGUCAAUCUUAAUUGUCAAUUCGAUGAGAUUUUUAAUCGCCAUGGAAACAGACCUCUGAGCAUGUCACGGAGACAGUUUCUAUAUCAGGUUAAUCGAGGUACAUCUGAGGUACAACAGUCUACCUCAUAGUGGCCUCUGACAGUCCAAAGCACGAGCGGUCAUUGCCAGGGCAGCUCCAUUGUCUGCCAGAGCCCUCUCUGCUCUGCUUAUAGCUGUCUCAUGCCAGCCGAGUCGCUUCAGCAUGCAGUUCUAGGAGCCUCGUGUCUGAGUCUGAGGUAUAAGCAAGAUCCUACACUUCCACGGCCCUAGGAGAGGAUCCUUCAUGCCUCUCCCAGCUACUGGUGAAGGUCACAGUUUGAUCAUCUGACUUAAGGACCCAGUGCCCUGCCAUCUACCCGUUUCUUCACAUGUAGGCAGCUAUGCCCAAACAGUCUCCUUAUGUAAGUGCUACUCACUCCCCCAACCUACAUGCUGCCACCUGACCACUCUGGCAGAGUCACUCUUCACAAUGAGACCACAUGCCAUAAAGAGUCCCUUGAAUAGGCUACGCAAGCCCACACUGCCACCCAACCUCAGAUCCCAUGUUGACCCGUCACUCACAUCCCUUCACUGGGCAUGUGCGGUUCAACUGGCCAGCUGCAGCCUCAGGGUCCCAGGUCUUCACCCUUCCCACAUCCUAUUCACCUUGGAAGUUCCUGUUGGUCCUUCAAAUGGUUAUUAAACUCCUCUAAUGUACAUUA